ACCGCGAUAACCUCGGGAAACUGAGGCCAAUAGCGGAUAUAACUCUCAGGCUGGAGUGCCGAGAGUUAGAAACGUUCCGGCGCUGUAGGAUGUGGCUGCGGCCGAUUAGGUAGAUGGUGGGGUAACGGCCCACCAUGCCGAUAAUCGGUACAGGUUGUGAGAGCAAGAGCCUGGAGACGGUAUCUGAGACAAGAUACCGGGCCCUACGGGGCGCAGCAGGCGCGAAACCUUUACACUGCACGACAGUGCGAUAGGGGGACUCCGAGUGUGAGGGCAUUAGCCCUCGCUUUUCUGAACCGUAAGGUGGUACAGGAACAAGGACUGGGCAAGA
rnacentral:rRNA from 1 species